rnacentral:rRNA from 1 species
AUGCAUGGACAUACGGGGAUCAGAGGCAGCGAGGGUGAAGCACAUUUCCUUAUAGCUGCAGUUGACUUGACGAGUGAAAUCUUCACGGGGCAUAUCAUUAUUGAGUCCGACUGCGCCACAGUGGCCACAGCUAUCAAAUACCAUAACGUCAAUAGAUCUAAGUGGUUGGUUAUUUAUGAAGAUGCUAAGCAAUCAACUAAUAAGUUUGAGUCCUGUUCUAUCAGGAGGAUUGGUAGAGAUAGCAAUCUUAUAGCCCAUUGGCAGCAUACAGUAGAAUCAAUGUUGUAUUCUUUCUUCCGGCCAGUGUGCCAUCUUGUAGUACUCCAUACUGUCAAAGUGAUUGUAACCCUGGUCAAUCCCCAUUUAAUAUAA